rnacentral:lncRNA from 1 species
CAGAACACUUAUGAAGUGAGCAUUUACUCCCUGUCACUUUUGUUUCAAUGAGUCACCAGCACACAGAGCCCAAGAGCUAUGCAGGACCAGAGGUUUGUCUCCAUCUCCACAGAGACCUGAGAGGGGAAGCUCUGUAGGUCUCUUGCUGGCUGGUGAUCGGGGUCAGUACUAGACUGCAGGAUUCCUGACUCUGACCAGAGCAUUCCCCACUGUGUGUUACAGGAACAGGCAAAAGCUGAAAGGGUCAUGGGAGGAGGCUGCUGGUUCCAGUGAAUGGCGCUGACCCCACUGAGAUCAACACCUUGCUGGAGGCCUCAAACACUGAAAGAAAGACAUGCAAAGGAAAUAAUUCAGGACCAACUGGUGGGCUCCAAAAAUCUCUUCUAUGAGGAAGGUGAAUGCAGGCUCUGCUACGUCCUGCCUGUGAAAGAAUCCCUUCAGGAAACCAGAGCUUCCCUCGUUUACCUUUUCUCCUACAAAGGGAAGCAGCCUGGAAGAAAGAGUCCAGUACUUGACCCAUGCCUCAACAAACUCUGCUAUCAAUAUGGUGCAGCUUACCAAAGGUCCUAGAACUUUGUCAACGCACUUGGAGUAAUUUUUAUGAAAUAUUGUGUGUGAUAAGCAAACUGUGGAAAUUUAUAUAAGAUGUUGGUGGCAUAGAGUUAUACGAUUGUGUAUUAAGGGUAGUUUUAGGAUGUCAUUUUUUUUUCAGUUCAUCAUGACAGAAGUCCUUUUCAUGAGAGAAGUCACAUGAGAAAAAACUUUCUUAUAUUGUAAGCUCCUUCUAUAGUGGUAUGUGCAUUUAAUGACAUCCAACUAAAGAUGGUGUAAUACCACGGUGGUUUGACUUAGAGUUUUUUAACUUUAUAUCUGGUUUAUCUGGGUAUUACAUGCGUUUUAAAUGUGGAUCUUUUCAACUUACGAUGAGAUUAUCAAGACAUAGCCCCAUGCUAAGUCAUGAGCAUGUGGACUUAUAAUGGUUCAAUUUAGAUUUUUCGGCUUUAAGAUAGGAUUAUUGGGGCUUACCCCCAUCUUAAGUAGAGAAACAUCUGUAUUGUGUAAUACUAUAUGAUGUACAUUUUUCUGUUUUCCUAUUUUCGUGCAUGUUGAUGUAAGCAUGGAAAAAUUUUAGGAAAUGUAUUUAUUAGGCUGUUUACAUGGGCUGCCUGGUGCAAAUCAGCAGUCAAAAAUGACUACAUACACAACUAGCAAUGGGAGGAGAAAUCCUCCCUCUGUGGGAGGCACUGACUACAUUCCAGUUCUCCCUCCUACGCCCAGAGACUGGACCAGGGUUUGAUGACUGGCAACUUCUCAAGGGGCCGGUCUGUCUUAGUUGAUGAUUUUAGAGGUAUAUAGAGGUAUUUAUUUACAAAUAAACAAAUAUUUAUUUAUAAGUAGAUGUUUACAUAUGCCCAGGAUUUUGAAGAGCCUGGUAUCUUUGGGAAGCCAUGUGUCUGGUCUGUCCUGCUGGGACAGUCAUGGGACUGCAUCUUCGUCCUUGUCCACAGCAGAUGAGGACAGUGAGAAUUAGGUUAGAUCUGGGACUACAAAUAGCUUCUCUUUCAAGUGCCAUUACAGCUGAACAUUAGUGAAUCUUGGGCCUUCUUUGGGCUCAGGGCAGAGCAGGUGUUUAUCUGCCCCGGCAUCUGCUAUGGCAUCAAGAGGGAAGAGUGGACGGUGCCUGGGAAUGGUGUGAAAUGAUUGCUGACUCAGGAGUGGAUGGGCCCCUCUCGCUUCUGGUGGUCUGUGACCCUGAGCCCCUGAGCUGCAUUUUACGGUAAAGAUUCCUGAGCUGCAGCAUCUGACUCAUCUCAGAAAUAUCAAUUCUUAAACACUGUGACAACAGGACCUAGAAUGGCUGACACAUUAAGGCUUUGUCCUUGUGUCACGCUCUAUUAUUUUAUUUAAAAACUUCAGUAAUCAUUUUAGCCUCUUUCCAGCAAACUCUUCUCCAUAGCAGUCCAGUAGUGGUAGGAUAAAUUAUGGAUGUAGUCGUUCAAGGGAUUUUGGUCUUUUCCAUCUCAAGCCAUGUGUUUUGUCUUGUUCCGGGACUGGUUUGGCUGGGACAAAGUUAGAAUUGCCUGAAGAUUUAGGCACAUUCAGUGUUGUGUCCAUGGAGUUUUAGGAGGGGGUAGCCUUUCUGGUCUUUGCACUUCCAUCCUCUCCCACUUCCAUCUGGCGUCCCAUGCGUUGUCCCCUGCACAUCUGGAAGACACAAGGUGCUGCUGCCACCUGGUCUUUGCUUUUGCAGGGCCUUCUGUGCAGGACACUUGGCCUCAAAGCCCAGAGGGAGCCAGUCCAGCCCCAGCUCCCUUGUGCCUUCCGUAGAGGCCUUCCUUGAAGAUGCAUCUAGAGUGUCAGCCUUAUCAGUGUUUGUUAAGCUUAUUCUUUUAAAGUAAGCUUCCUGACAACAUGAAAUUGUUGGGGUUUUCUGGAGUUGUUUGGUUUGUAUGGGAUUUGCUUUAUCCCCAAGCCAAACAGCACAUGACACACGACAGCCACUUAAGACAGUGUGUCACUCGUGGUUAGAGUCCUUUGAUGUUUCUGCCCUAUGGACCCUAUUUGAAGACUAUGUUGUAAUAUCAAACAAUACAAGGAAGCACGUUAUACAGAAAAUGCUCAUAUGUUUAUGAAUUUUGACCAAAAUAAAUAUGAAAUCUUAUAUUA